AGCGAACGCUGGCGGCAGGCUUAACACAUGCAAGUCGAACGCAUCACUUCGGUGGUGAGUGGCAGACGGGUGAGUAACACGUGGGAACGUAACCUUCGAUCUGGGAUAACUUCGGGAAACUGGAGCUAAUACCGGAUACGCCCUUUUGGGGAAAGGUUUACUGUCGAAGGAUCGGCCCGCGUCUGAUUAGCUAGUUGGUGGGGUAACGGCCUACCAAGGCGACGAUCAGUAGCUGGUCUGAGAGGAUGAUCAGCCACACUGGGACUGAGACACGGCCCAGACUCCUACGGGAGGCAGCAGUGGGGAAUAUUGGACAAUGGGCGCAAGCCUGAUCCAGCCAUGCCGCGUGAGUGAUGAAGGCCUUAGGGUUGUAAAGCUCUUUUGUCCGGGACGAUAAUGACGGUACCGGAAGAAUAAGCCCCGGCUAACUUCGUG
rnacentral:rRNA from 1 species